rnacentral:rRNA from 1 species
CUGGCGGCAGGCCUAACACAUGCAAGUCGAACGGGUAACAGGAAACAGCUUGCUGUUUCGCUGACGAGUGGCGGACGGGUGAGUAAUGUCUGGGAAACUGCCUGAUGAGGGGGAUAACUACUGGAAACGGUAGCUAAUACCGCAUAACGUCGCAAGACCAAAGAGGGGGACCUUCGGGCCUCUUGCCAUCGGAUGUGCCCAGAUGGGAUUAGCUAGUAGGUGGGGUAACGGCUCACCUAGGCGACGAUCCCUAGCUGGUCUGAGAGGAUGACCAGCCACACUGGAACUGAGACACGGUCCAGACUCCUACGGGAGGCAGCAGUGGGGAAUAUUGCACAAUGGGCGCAAGCCUGAUGCAGCCAUGCCGCGUGUAUGAAGAAGGCCUUCGGGUUGUAAAGUACUUUCAGCGGGGAGGAAGGGAGUAAAGUUAAUACCUUUGCUCAUUGACGUUACCCGCAGAAGAAGCACCGGCUAACUCCGUGCCAGCAGCUGC